AUUUUAUAUUCGAUGAUUUUUACGGUACAACCGUGCGGGAACUCGGUCUCUUCGCCGUCGUCCUCUUCGGAGCUCAGUAUACGUAUACUUACGUGUACAGCGUAUACUGUACAGUAUACGUUUGGUCAGCAGCUAUUUCGCUCCGCUGCUUCUUAUGAAUCGACGCGGCGCGGUGGCUGCGGCGUGUGUCGAGUGAAGUGCAAAUGCAACUAGUGAAAUCAUCGGAAUCGAAUUAUAUUCCGUUGGAUAGAUCGAAAGAUGCUUAGACAGGAAUACGUCUGGCACGCGUCGCGGUUGUGCAGUUGUGAGUUGUGACGUGUGGGAUCUUUUUUCAAUUCCUUUUCCGUGUAUUAUGGCCGACGAACUGGUUUCUCCGACGCGACAGGAAAUUGGUGAUCGUCCUGCGAUUUCGGCAUAAAUGCGAUCGAGGAAGGGGAGUUUUUUUUGUGCAAUCGAUGACGCAAAGGAUAGAUGGGAUUCCAGGCUCCGGUCUCGAUUUGGGAUCUUCGCCCUGCGAGUGAAAUUGCCGUCAUCGAUCUCAGUGCUGUGUCGUGCCAUGAUCCGUGAUCGAUAAGUGGGAAACGAAUUAUCCGCGAAAGCGAUCGCGAUUUACGUGGUGCGUUUUGUUUAUUCUCGAUACGUGUUACCCGCUAUUUUUCGACGGCUCAACCGAAAAUAAGUCGAACAAGUGUUUCGUUUCUCGAUCAGCUCAAAUUCUUUGGGAUGGGAUUCGCAUCUGGUGUUUCUUUCUUGACGAUACAACGUUGACUACAGCUGACGAGAUCGACGACGAUCGAAGGGAGGAGUUUCCGAUUACUCGAGUGCACGCAUACACGGCAGAACGACGGCGACGCGACGGAAGGCAGUCGAAGUCGAAGCAGGGAAGAACGAGGAACGGGAGAACAAGGAUGAGGAUGAGACUCGAGAAUGGAAGAUGGUGCGGCUGCCGCGAGGUCGUUCGUCCACGCAGAAGCUGAGAUCGCAGCCAGAGGCUUUCCCAACGUUACAUAUUCUGCGUUCAUCGUUGCGCGUAGCGAAAUCGCGACGAAUACGAAUGGAACAUCAGACUCGUUGGAUACUGGACCAACAUUUGUACAGGCAACCUUCGAACAGGUGCUCGUCCCUUGAGCCGUGGCACGUAGCGCGUGGCGCAUCGUGACGCGAGAAGCGAAAAUAUGCCGUCGUAAGAGGGGGAGUAAGAAAGGUCUCGAGUUCUUUCUUUGAACUCGCCCCACAAAAUCAGUCUCAUAACUUUCUGCAUAAUUUACUACUUUCCUUCACCUGUUCGCUGAACAUUCCCAUGAAUGUAAAAGGGUUUUGUAAUCCAUGAAAUAAAUAAAAUGAAAAUCAACCGAGGAAAUAUCACCGACGAUCAAUUAGAACGUGCAAAAUUAUAACAUCGAAGUCGAUUGUACGUCGCCCAUGAAUUCGGAAACGUUCGGUCGUAUACAGAUGAAAGCAUUGAGCGGAAAAGGCUAUACAGACACUGUCUAGGAGUCUUCCUAAUCCUAGGGACUGUCUAGGACGGGUAAAUCCGAAUAAAUAAGUAAAUAAAUACAUAAAUAAAUAAAUAUACCGAUGAAAGCGCGUCGUGCUAAAUCAUUUCCCACAGAAUAAUGCUUUUCGAGAAAGUCGAAGUUAUGGAUCUUCACAGCCUCGAGGAACAAGGUCGAGUUGAAUAGCAUACUACGCAUGCACCAUCAUCGCGGUACGUGCAUCCCGAAUCGCGACACAUUCCAUUGAUACAGGUAUUUAUUGUUAGUGGUUAGCGCGAAUACCGUUUGCGACGAGCGGCGAGGCGAGAAAUGAGAAAACGUACCUAGAUCGUUUUGCUGUAGA